rnacentral:tRNA from 1 species
GGGUCCGUAGCUCAGCCUGGGAGAGCAUACGGCUGAAGACCGUAGUAUCGGGAGUUCAAAUCUCCCCGGGCCCA